UACGGGGGGGGCAAGCGUUUGUUCGGAAUUACUGGGCGUAAAGGGCUCGUAGGCGGCCAACUAAGUCAGACGUGAAAUCCCUCGGCUUAACCGGGGAACUGCGUCUGAUACUGGAUGGCUUGAGGUUGGGAGAGGGAUGCGGAAUUCCAGGUGUAGCGGUGAAAUGCGUAGAUAUCUGGAGGAACACCGGUGGCGAAGGCGGCAUCCUGGACCAAUUCUGACGCUGGAGGAGCGAAAGGCCAGGGGAGCAAAGCGGGG
rnacentral:rRNA from 1 species